rnacentral:rRNA from 1 species
GUGUCAGCCGCCGCGGUAAUACGUAGGAGGCGAGCGUUAUUCGGAUUUACUGGGCGUAAAGAAGGCGUAGGCGGCCUUUCAAGUCGGAUGUGAAAUCUUCUGGCUUAACUGGAAGGGGUCAUCCGAUACUGUUGGGCUAGAGGGCAGCAGGGGGAGGUAGAAUUCCCGGUGUAGUGGUGAAAUGCGUAGAUAUCGGGAGGAAUACCAGUGGCGAAGGCGGCCUUCUAGGCUGUUUCUGACGCUGAGGCCUGAAAGUGUGGGGAGCGAACAGGAUUAGAUACCCUGGUAGUCCACACCGUAAACGAUGGACACUAGGUAUAGGGAGUAUCGACCCUCUCUGUGCCGAAGCUAACGCUUUAAGUGUCCCGCCUGGGGAGUACGGCCGCAAGGCUAAAACUUAAAUGAAUUGACGGGG